CAGUUUCCACGGCAUUGCCUCCAUUGGGUCGCCAGCAUUCGCACUAUUCAGCAUGCUAAAGAAUAUUGGUUCUGUCCUCUUGUGCCUCUUGCUGUGUCGCUGUACGGGUCAUGGAGCUCCUUACAAUGUGUGCGAUGUGGACCCAAAGACAGCGAUGUUUCAUGCAACAGCCAUUGGACGGUCUACGAACCGUGUCUUCAAAGUUUGUUAUCAACUGGUCAAGGACCUUCACAAGAAGCCCGAUGCAAAGUUCUUUACUGAUAGCCUCAAGUUCGGCUGUGCCAAUGCGCAUCGCUGCAUCGAGGAGGUUGGAGAGGAAAUACCGAAGGUAACACUAGAUGCUUAUACGUUUAAUAGAUUAAACGAACGACGAAUACAAAAGAAAGAACGCGCACGGUACAUGCUCUAUUAAAUGUAUUGUAAAGCGGCAGACAGACAGGUUGUGUUGGCGGCGUAGGCUAGACCGCUUGAAGCGACGUCUGAUUGCGAAAAUCCCCCAAAAAUUUGUCAGGCAACAGUGAUCUAUGUUCCCGGCUGCCUUGCUACUCAUGAUGACUAUGUAGCGACCAAUGCGCAGUUUGUGGCGACUACGUCGUUAGGUGUUUUCUUUAAUAUUGACCACAAUGUAGCUUAGCAGUCGUACUUGUCGAACAAUGCGCCCUUGUUCAUGCGCAAGUUAAGUGGGAAUGUAAGUACGAAGCGUGAGACCUCCUGUUCGGCCAUGCUUCAGAGGCGUCUUCUGCUUUAUAAUUUGCGUAAUCCUGCAAUACAAAUCAGCAUUACUGGUGGGUGACGUCUACGGCGUCUUCAAACUACGAACUGAGGUUAUUCACUGGAACAAGUGGUUU